GACGAACGCUGGCGGCGUGCUCCAUACAUGCUACCUCGAACGCUUUUCUUUCACCGAGACUUGUCAUCGCCGACAAGAAAAGAGUGGCGAACGGGUGAGUAACACAGUGGGUAACCUACCCUCGAGCGGGGCGAUAACAUUUGGACAACACGGUGCUAAUACCGCAUAAUAACAGAAGGAGCAUUUCUUUUGUUUGAAAGUCGCAAUUGCGACACUCGAGGAUGGACCCGACGGUGCAUUAGCUAGCUUAGGUGGGGUAACGGCUCACCAAGGCCACGAUAGCAUAGCCGACCUGAGAGUGGUGAUCGGCCACACUGGGACUGAGACACGGCCCAGACUCCUACGUGGAGGCAGCAGUAGGGACAUCUUCGGCAAUGGACGAAACGUCUGACCGAGCAACGCCGCGUGAGUGAAGAAGGUUUUCGGAUCGUAAAACUCUGUUGUAGAGAAGAACAAGGGUGAGAGAUGGAAAUGUUCCACCACCGUUGACAGGUAUCUAACCAGAAAGCCACACGGCAUAACUACGUGCCAGCAAGCCGCAGGUAAUACCGUAAAGUGGCAAAGCGUAGAUACGGAUUU
rnacentral:rRNA from 1 species